UACGUAGGGGGCAAGCGUUGUCCGGAUUUAUUGGGUGUAAAGGGUUCGUAGGCGGUGUGGCAAGUCGGGAGUGAAAUCUCUGGGCUCAACCCAGAGGCUGCUUCCGAAACUGCCGUGCUUGAGUGUGGGAGAGGCGCGUGGAAUUGCAGGUGUAGCGGUGAAAUGCGUAGAUAUCUGCAGGAACACCCGUGGCGAAAGCGGCGCGCUGGACCACAACUGACGCUGAGGAACGAAAGCUAGGGGAGCAAACAGG
rnacentral:rRNA from 1 species